rnacentral:rRNA from 1 species
GAUGAACGCUGGCGGCGUGCCUAAUACAUGCAAGUCGAGCGAACAGAUGAGGAGCUUGCUCCUCUGACGUUAGCGGCGGACGGGUGAGUAACACGUGGAUAACCUACCUAUAAGACUGGGAUAACUUCGGGAAACCGGAGCUAAUACCGGAUAAUAUAUUGAACCGCAUGGUUCAAUAGUGAAAGACGGUUUUGCUGUCACUUAUAGAUGGAUCCGCGCCGCAUUAGCUAGUUGGUACGGUAACGGCUUACCAAGGCAACGAUGCGUAGCCGACCUGAGAGAGGGGUCGCCCACACGGGAGCGUGAACAGGCACCAGGCGCCUGCGGGAGGGAGCAGUAGGGAAUCGUCCGCAGAAGGCGAGAGUUUUACGCAACGGGGGCACGUGUGAGAUGAAGGUGUUCGGUGCGGGAAGAUCGGUUUUUAGUGAAGAACAAAUUUGUAAGGGAAUGUGCAGGUAGUGACGGUACCUAAUCAGAAAGCCACGGCUAACUACGUG